GUAAAGCACUUUCAGUAGGGAGGAAGGUAGUGUAGUUAACACCUGCAUUAUUUGACGUUACCUACAGAAGAAGCACCGGCUAACUCCGUGCCAGCAGCCGCGGUAAUACGGGAGGGUGCGAGCGUUAAUCGGAAUUACUGGGACGUAAAGCGCAUGCAGGCGGCCUGUUAAGUCAGAUGUAGAAAGGCCCGGGGACCUUUAACCGUACGGUAAUUGCUAUUUAGAAACUGGCAGGCUAGAGUCUUGUAGAGGGGGUAGGAAUUUCAGGUGUAGCGGUGAAAUGCGUAGAGAUCUGAAGGAAUACCAGUGGCGAAGGCGGCCCCCUGGACAAAGACUGACGCUCAGAUGCGAAAGCGUGGGGAGCAAACAGGAUUAGAUACCCUGGUAG
rnacentral:rRNA from 1 species